UACGUAGGGGGCAAGCGUUGUCCGGAAUCAUUGGGCGUAAAGAGCGUGUAGGCGGCUCGGUAAGUCCGCUCUGAAAGCCCGGGGCUCAACCCCGGGAGGCGGGCGGAUACUGUCGGGCUAGAGUCCGGAAGAGGCGAGUGGAAUUCCUGGUGUAGCGGUGAAAUGCGCAGAUAUCAGGAGGAACAUCAGUGGCGAAAGCGACCUCCUGGACCAAUACUGACGCUCAUGUGCGAAAGCGUGGGGAGCAAACAGG
rnacentral:rRNA from 1 species